rnacentral:rRNA from 1 species
CGGGGGCAGCAGGCGCGAAAACUUUACAAUGCUGGCAACAGCGAUAAGGGGACCUCGAGUGCCAGGAUACAAUCUUGGCUGUCGCGAUGCCUAAAAAGCAUUGCAUAGCAAGGGCCGGGCAAGACCGGUGCCAGCCGCCGCGGUAACACCGGCGGCUCGAGUGGUAACCACUAUUAUUGGGUCUAAAGGGUCUGUAGCCGGCCGGAUAAGUCUUUUGGGAAAUCCAGCUGCUCAACAGUUGGGCUUUCAGAAGAUACUGUUCGGCUCGAGACCGGGAGAGGUGAGAGGUACUUCAGGGGUAGGGGUGAAAUCUUGUAAUCCUUGAAGGACCACCAGUGGCGAAGGCGUCUCACCAGAACGGAUCUGACGGCAAGGGACGAAAGCUAGGGGCACGAACCGGAUUAGAUACCCGGGUAGUCCUAGCCGUAAACGAUACUCGCUAGGUGUCAGCCACGGUGCGACCGUGGUUGGUGCCGUAGGGAAGCCGUGAAGCGAGCCACCUGGGGAGUACGGCCGCAAGGCUGAAACUUAAAGGAAUUGGCGGGGGAGCAC